UACAGAGGUCUCAAGCGUUGUUCGGAUUCAUUGGGCGUAAAGCGUGCGCAGGCGGUUCGUUGUGUCGGCGGUGAAAGCCCCGGGCUCAACCUGGGAAUGGCCGUUGAAACUGGCGAACUGGAGUGUGGCAGAGGGGGGUGGAAUUCCGCGUGUAGCAGUGAAAUGCGUAGAGAUGCGGAGGAACACCGAUGGCGAAGGCAGCCCCCUGGGCUGACACUGACGCUCAGGCACGAAAGCGUGGGGAGCAAACAGG
rnacentral:rRNA from 1 species